GUGCUCGUUUCGGCAGCACAUAUACUAAAAUGGGAACAAAACAGAGAAGAUUAGCAUGGCCCCUGUACUAGGAUGACAUGCAAAUUCAUGAAGUGUUCCAUAAUUUU